rnacentral:misc_RNA from 1 species
UUUCCGUAGGUGAACCUGCGGAAGGAUCAUUCAUAAUAAAGUGUUUUAUGGCACUUUUUAAAAAUCCAUAUCCACCUUGUGUGCAAUGUUAGAUCUCGUCAAUCUUGGCGAGAUUUUUAUACAUCAACUCAUUUUUUAACUAAUUUGUCUGAAAAAUAUUAUGAAUACUUAAUUCAAAAAUACAACUUUCAACAACGGAUCUCUUGGCUCUC